rnacentral:rRNA from 1 species
AUGUCAGUGUUUAGCCUACCUAAAGGGGUCUGUAAAGACAUCACCGAUUUGAUUACCCAAUUCUGGUGGGGUGAUGACGAUGACCACAAAAGAUUGCAUUGGUACACCUGGUGGAAGCUUUGUUACCCAAAAAAUGAAGGAGGGAUGGGCUUUAGGGAUCUCCACUCCUUUAAUCUUGCUAUGCUAUCAAAACAAUGCUGGCGUCUCAUAACCAAUCCAGAGUCUCUUUGUGCGAGGGUACUAAAAGAGAAAUAUUUUCCUAAUUGUAGUCUGCUCCAUGCUACAUUGAAAAAUGGAUCCUCCUUCACUUGGCAAAGUAUCAUGAAAGGAUUGGAAACUUUCAAAUUGGGAUACAUUUGGAGGAUUGGAAACGGUGAGAAGGUCAAUAUAUGGACUGAUCCAUGGAUCUCAGGGAGCCCGGAUAGGAAGGUUAUUUCAGGUCGUGGUCAUACUCUGCUCAAUUUUGUUAGUGACUUAAUCGAUCCUAUAUCAGGGACAUGGGAUGAAGCAUUGCUUCAAACAAUUCUGAAUCCGGUCGACGUUAGGCGAAUUAUGCAAAUACCGCUGAGUCACAAUGCUUUUGACGAUUUUAUUGCGUGGCAUCCUGACCGCAGAGGGAUAUUCACUGUACGAUCGGCGUAA